GACGAACGCUGGCGGCGUGCUUAACACAUGCAAGUCGAACGGAAAGGCCCUGCUUUUGUGGGGUGCUCGAGUGGCGAACGGGUGAGUAACACGUGAGUAACCUGCCCUUGACUUUGGGAUAACUUCAGGAAACUGGGGCUAAUACCGGAUAGGAGCUCCUGCUGCAUGGUGGGGGUUGGAAAGUUUCGGCGGUUGGGGAUGGACUCGCGGCUUAUCAGCUUGUUGGUGGGGUAGUGGCUUACCAAGGCUUUGACGGGUAGCCGGCCUGAGAGGGUGACCGGCCACAUUGGGACUGGGAUACGGCCCAGACUCCUACGGGGGGAAGCAGUGGGGAAUAUUGCACAAUGGGCGGAAGCCUGAUGAAGCAACGCCGCGUGCGGGAUGACGGCCUUCGGGUUGAAAACCGCUUUCGCCUGUGACGAAGCGUGGGUGACGGUAAUGGGUAAAGAAGCACCGGCAAACUACGU
rnacentral:rRNA from 1 species